UGUCAAAUGUUUUUUUUUUAACUUCUAGAAAAAACUUCGUUACGGAAAAGAAAACUCAUUUAAGGGAAUUAGGACCUAGGUUGUAAGCUGUUGGCAUAGUGACAUUUGUUCCUAAGCUUUAAUUAUAUUUUUAAAUUCUGAGAUGCUUUGCUCUGAGUGUGUAACCUAGUAGCUCUCUAGCAUUUUGGGUGUCUGUGUGACACCUGAGGCUCAAAGUUAAGGUUCUCCAGCUCUAAAAAUGCCAAAGAAGCAACAUUAAUUCUGAAAAGACAGCUCCAUACAACAAUUGUUAAAGAAGCUAAAGAAAGAAUCAAACUUCAAUGCAAGAGGUGAAUGGGGCUAACCAGAAUACAAGGUAAAAGUAAUAUUAUCUAUAUUUUAAAACUUUAACUUCUGUGGGGGACCAAAAAGGAGAAAUUUACUUUUAUCAAAAAAAAAUUAAUUUUCUAUAGCACCUAUCUAAUUUAACCUGUGUAGUCAGUUCAUUUAAACAACUGAACUCAGCUUUAUAUAACAUAGAACCUAGGAUAGAUAAUAAGAUCUUAGUAUUCUGUACAGGUUAAUGUAAUACCCUGAUACAUUUUGGAGUGUUUUUGACAUAAAAAGUAUCUGCAAGAUCCCUUGAGGGGCUGGAGAAAGAAAGCAACUGAGGGAAUUCCUGCUAUUCUCUCAAGCAAUAAGCGGCUCCCAACUUACUAAAAUUUUCAUUAAGGGAUGUUACAAGGUCUAAAUCUAAAAUCCACUCCUUUUCAGAAAACAUAAGUUAUCUCCAUUUAAACUUACAAUAGGGAGACCUAUGAAGAUAAACUCUAGAGUAUAUGAUCCUUGCCUCAUAAAAUGGAAAUAUCCUAACAAGCCCUUAAUCUUGAGGCAUGCACUUAUAAAACUUAUUUCUGUGAUGAUGUAAUGCCUAAAAAUCACCCCCUAAAAACCUCUUAGUUGCUCAAAUGUGGCCUCUUUCUAGGCCAAACUCUGCAAAUGAAAUCAGUACCCUCCCCGCUACAUGGGACAUGACUCCCAGGGGUGAGCCUCCUUGGCCUGGUGGGACCUCACUCCCGGGAAUACCCUCCCUGAUACCGAGGGAUUAGCAAUGCUUUCUUGAUAAAGAGUGAGAAAAAUGAAACAAAAUAAAGUUUUGAUGGCUAAGAGAUUUCAAAUAGAGUCAGGAUGUCAUUCUGGAGGUUACUGUUAUGCAGCUUGCAGGCAGAUAUUGCCAACAUUGCUCCUGAAGACUUUAAGAAACACCCCAGGUUCUAUCUGAAACUCCAUAAAAAAGUUAUUUUUCCAAUGUAACAUAGUUCUAAGUCACCUAAUCAUCAUCCUUCUACUCCUUCUAUUUAAACCUAUAAUUUUCAAUGUACUUAUUAAGGUUGUUUUUCAGACACCUAAAGCCUCUGGAUUUUUCCUGUGCCAGAUAAGCCCCGAAACCCAGAGGUACCAGUCUCUCCAGAAAAACAACCAGUUUCAUUCCUCUAUCUCAUAAGUUCAGCCUAUUUUCAGCAUGAAGAAAUCAUUGCCCAGAGAGCCCUGAAGAUUGAAUGGACAAAACAAAAAGGGAGGAACUGUAACUGAGAAAUGAAGAAUUAACAAAUAAUUAGGACGACUGAAUCAAUAUUUAGAUGCCUUUUUCUUACUUUCUAGUACACUGUAGAAUAGUCAAAAAGAAAUACCUGAAAUUACUGAAAAUAUUCUAACUGUAACCCAGAUGCCUUGAUCUUUGAUGAUGAUUGUAAAAUUAUAGAGCCCUUAACUUGUGAUUGUAAAAACCUCGUGACUGGCCCUGCUUGUACCUCCUUAUCCUGUUUUACAACUAUAGAGUCUUGUGAUUAUAGCAACAACCCCCUAAUGUUUAUUAAUGAAGGAACCUGAGUCAGCCCAGAACUAACCCAACCCAAUCCCUAAACUAUCUUGCUGGAUGAAGCUAGAUCUAACCAAAAUGGGCCCACUUAACAUGCACAGUAGCUUAAACUUUAACCCACAAGUGACUCUACACCUCAUUAUAAUACUAAAAAUCAUGCCCAUUAUCAUACAAAGGCUGCCAUUUUCUUACAUAUGUUCUAUGACUAAGCAUAUAAUCAAUCUGCACAUGCUCCAUAAUUAGAUCAUCUCUAACUUGGUCAUCUCAAGUCAUCGUGCUCAUUAUCCCAAAACCUGCCCAUCUUUUUAUAUAUAAAACUAUCAGAGUUACUGCAGUUGAGGGAGACAGAUUUUAGGUAAAUAGGCCAUCUGUUCUUGCUUUGUGUAGCAAUAACCUCUGUCUCCUUUUGUAACCCCGGUGUCAUAGAUUGGCUGUUAUGCCCAUCAAGCAGAGAACUCGUUUGAUCGGCGUCGAUUUUGUUGUGAAGGAACAAACAACGAACCCAACUUGUUCAACUGGUGUGUUCCCAGCAGCCUGUGGCCAGAAGGCACUGACACCUGGCUCGUGGUGAGUACAUAGCCACUGUUGGCUGCAAAAACAGAAUUAAGAUUUUUCCACCACCAGAUGAUUAUUACUUUUCAUAAGGGGAGAGUUAUCUAGAUUAUGUGGCAAGUGUUUGGAAAUAGAGAGUAAGGAGUUGGUUGCAUGCAUUUGAGGUAAUUUCAUGCAGUCAACGGUCUAGGAGUCAGAUUUAUAUGAAGAGUUGUCAGACCCACUGUGCCAUUCCCUGGGGGUCAGUCUCAAAUCAUGUGGCCCCUGGAACCCACCAGAAGAGUACAGAUACUCUCUCAGGAAAUUCCCAGGAUCAGAGGUUUCCUCCCAGGAGCUGGUGACAAAGGUGAGACCUCACACUGGGCCUGGCCGAUUCUUCCACUAUGUGUCUUCAUCUGCUUAAACCACUCAGAUGAGCCUUAUAAAGGGAGUUACGAUGAAAAUUUAAAAAUAGUAGCUGCAUCGUGAGUGUACAGUGUCCCAGGCAAGGGACGCAUAGUUUGUCUCAUUCUCACAACCACCCUGUAAAGUUGUGAUUGGUCUCAUUGUGCAGAUGAGAAAAUUCAAGCUCAGAAAAUUUAAUGAAAGUUUUAGAGCUGGAAAGUAAGAGAUGUGACCAUGGUGACAGAGCGUACUCCUUGGGUUAUUACAACACCCAUGUUAUCAACUUCAUUCAUUCAUUCAUUCAUUCCACAAACAUCUAUUGAAUGCUCUAGUAGGUGUCGGAAACUCUUCUAGGUACUGGAGACACAGCAAAGAACAAAACAGACAAACCUCCCUGCUCACAUGGGGUUGAUAUUCUAAUAGGACAGAUGGACAGGCAAUAAGUGAAGAAGGAAAAUAGUAUUUUGAAUGGGGACAUUAUUAUGGAAAAAAACAAAAGCAAUGUAUGUCUCCCAUUCAGAUCUUUAUUCAAGUAUAUCCUCAGAUAUAAGAUAUCUUUGCAAAACCUGGGAAGUUGAAUAUGGACUAGUAUUAUAUGAUAUUGUUACUUUUUAUAGAUUUGAUGAUGGCUUGGUGGCAUACUAUAAAAAAUGUAGUUAUCAUUUAAAGAUGCAGUCUGAAGCAUUUAUGGAUAAACAGAAUACGACAGCAAAAUUGUUGAACAUUAUUGAUGAUGGAUGAUUAAAACAUGAGGAAAGGCCUUUCUACUUUCUUUUCUAAUUUUGUAUGCAUUUGAAUAUUCCAUAAAUACAGCUCUCUUUUAUAGGACAUGGAAGGUGUGCUGCAAGGCCAAAGAGGGAGAGCAGGGAAGGUCUCUCUAAGAAGGUGAUGUUCAUGCCAAGACUUGAAGGAGGAACUUCCCCAGCAUUGCCUGCAGGAGGAUGCAAGGAGUAUCACCAUAUGGUCUGAUAAUCAAUGCCGCUUUCUUGAAAAACAAGCCUGAACGGGGGGAGGACUUCAAGAUAACAGGCGUCACUACCAAACAGCUUUUCCUCUUCUAUUUUUUUUCCCCUUCUCCUUUCUUCUGGAUCCCAGCCAUUUCUUUGUCUCUUUGGAGUUAUAAAAACCAAAACACUCUUUUCA